GUUCGAUCCUGGCUCAGAUUGAACGCUGGCGGGAUGCUUUACACACAUACAUGCAGUCCAGACAGCAGCACGGACUUCGGUCUGGUGGCGAGUGGCAGGCGGGUGAGUAAUGUAUCGGAACGUGCCUAGUAGCGGAGAAUAACUGCAGCGUAGCUAAUACCGCAUACGCCCUUCGAGGAAAGCGGGGGACCGCUGGAGCUCACCGCUAUUAGACGUGAUAUCCGGGACCAGCUCGUUGGUACAGGCAACGGCUCGCAAAGGCGACGAUCCGUAGCUGGUUUGAAGGGCGACCAUUACACUGGGACUGAGACACGGCCCAGACUCCUACAGGGAGAGGCAACGGUAAAGAAUUUUGGACAAUGGAAAGCCGAUCCAGCCAUCCCGCGUGUGCGACCGAAGGCCUUCGGGUUGCAAGCACGCAGCAGGAAGAAACGGCACGGGAUAAUACCCGAUGCAACUGACGAUACCUGCAGAAUAAGCACCGGCUAACUACGUGCCAGCAACCGCGGUAAUACGUAGGGUGCAAGCGUUAAUCGGAAUUACUGGGCGUAAAGCGUGCGCAGGCGGUUCGGAAAGAAGAUGUGAAAUCCCAGAGCUUAACUUUGGAACUGCAUUUUUAACUACCGAGCUAGUGUCAGAGGGAGGUGGAAUUCCGCGAUGUAGCAGUGAAGCGUAGAUAUUGCGGGAGGAACGCGAUGGCGAAGGCAGCCUCCUGGGAUAACACUGACGCUCAUGCACGAAAGCGUGGGGGAGCAAACAGGAUUAGAUACCCUGUUGCGUCCACGCCCUAAACGAUGUCUCAACUAAAGCUGUUGGGGCCUUCGGGCCUUGGUAGCGCAGCUAACGCGUGAAGUUGACCGCCUGGGAAAUACAGUCGCAAGAUUAAAACUCAAAGAUUGACGAGGACGCACAAGCGGUGGAUGAUGUCAGGUUAAUUCGAUGCAACGCGAAAAACCUUACCUACCCUUGACAUGUCUGGAAUCCCGAAGAAUUUGGGAGUGCUCGCAAAGAACCGGAACACAGGUGCUGCAUUGCUGUGCGUCAGCUCGUGUCUGAGAUGUUGGGUUAAGUCCCGCAACAGGCGCAAACCUUGUCAUUAGUUGCUACGAAAGGGCACUCUAAUGAGACUGCCGGUGACAAACCGGAGGAAGGUGGGGAUGACGUCAAGUCCUCAUGGCCCUUAUGGGUAGGGCUUCACAUCAUACAAGCAGAUCGGGACAGGGUGUAACCCACGCGAGGCCAAUCCCCCGAAACCCGAUCCUUAGUCGGAUCGCAGUCUGCAACUCGACUGCGUGAAGUCGGAAUCGCUAGUAAUCAUGGAUCAGCAUGUCGCAGUGAAUACGUUCCCGGGUCUUGUACACACCGCCCGUCACACCAUGGGAGUGGGUUUACCAGAAGUAGUUAGCCUAACCGUAAGGAGGCGAUUACCACGGUAGGAUUCAUGACUGGGGUGAAGUCGUAACUAAGGUAA
rnacentral:rRNA from 1 species